rnacentral:rRNA from 1 species
GACGAACGCUGGCGGCGUGCCUAAUACAUGCAAGUCGAGCGGACCUCUUCGGAGGUCAGCGGCGGACGGGUGAGUAACACGUGGGCAACCUGCCUGUAAGACUGGGAUAACUCCGGGAAACCGGAGCUAAUACCGGAUACUAUUUCAAACCGCAUGGUUUGACAUUCAAAGACGGUUUCGGCUGUCACUUACAGAUGGGCCCGCGGCGCAUUAGCUAGUUGGUGAGGUAACGGCUCACCAAGGCGACGAUGCGUAGCCGACCUGAGAGGGUGAUCGGCCACACGGGGCCUGAGACACGGCCCAGACUCCUACGGGAGGCAGCAGUAGGGAAUCUUCCGCAAUGGACGAAAGUCUGACGGAGCAACGCCGCGUGAGUGAUGAAGGCCUUCGGGUCGUAAAGCCCUGUCAUUAGGGACGAAACGUACUGGGAAUAAUAAGUUCAGUACUUGACGGUACCUAAGGAGGAAGCCCCGGCUAACUAUGUGCCAGCAGCCGCCGUAACAC